ensembl:misc_RNA 7SK 7SK RNA
GGAUGUGAUGGCCAUCUGGCUGCGACAUCUGUCACCCCAUUCAUCGCCAGGGUUGAUUAGGCUGAUCUGGCUGGCUAGGCAGGUUCCCCUUCCUCCCUCACCGCUCCAAUGUGCGUCCUCCCCGAAGCUGUGCGCUCGGUCGAAGAGGACCACCAUCCCCACUAGAGGAUGGUCUUCGGUCAAGGGUAUACGAGUAGCUGCGCUCCCCCGCUAGAACCUCCAAACAAGCUCUCAAGGUCCACAUACAAGCAAUUGUGCUCUGGUAUAAACACUGUAUUAAAAAACUAAACCAUGCACGAAAAAAUGAAAAACUUA